GUAUUUAUGAGCUAAUCAAACGGCUCAUAACCGUUCGGUCGCAGGUUCGAGUCCUGCAAGGUCCA
rnacentral:tRNA from 1 species